rnacentral:rRNA from 1 species
UAAUACGAAGGUGGCAAGCGUUACUCGGAAUUACUAGGCGUAAAGCGCAGGUAGGUGGUUGGGUAAGUCCGCAAUGAAAUCUCCCGGCUUAACUGGGAGGGGUUUGUGGAUACUGUCCGGCUGGAGUGUGGGAGAGGUAACUGGAAUUCCCGGUGUAGCGGUGAAAUGCGUAGAGAUCGGGAGGAACACCUAAGGCGAAAGCAGGUUACUGGCCCAAUACUGACACUGAGCUGCGAAAGCCAGGGGAGCAAACAGGAUUAGAUACCCUGGUAGUCCUGGCCAUAAACGAUGUAGACCAGUUGUGGGGGGUAUCGACCCCCUCCGUGACGACGCUAACGCAUUAAGUCUACCGCCUGGGGAGUACGGCCGCAAGGUUG